AGGGAUGGCCGUUAAUUUGUCCACAUUUUACAGCUUUAUUGGAAUCUGAAAUCUUCACAGCAUUGGUCAUGAAUGAAUAGGACAUGUUAGACUGGGAAGAAGAUGCUGAUGAGUAUAUACGGAAGAAUUUUCCUACAGAUAUAGACGAAGUUGGUGGAUGGAGGAUUUAUUCACUGCCAGCAAAAGUGCAGUAAACUUACUUGGUGUUAUUUCAAUGUCAAAGGGGCCACACCAAUGGAGACUUCCAUUGACAGUUUAUCAGCCAAGAGGAAAAAAGAACAAAAGAAGCAAUCAUAGCCGUUCUAAGGGAGAGUUAUUGGUGCUUCUGUUUUCGUCUAAGUUUCUCAUUCCUUCUGUUUCCAACGUGUCUCAAAAAAAAGUCCUGACCUAUAGGUCUUAAAAUGGUGGAUCCUAGGCUUUUGAGAUAACUAUUCAAUUGAUUCAGUUUCUAAGGAUUGUCAAACACUGCAUUGGGUUUUUUUUUGGCCAGCAUAUGGCUACUAUCCUAGUUUUAUUGUAGAUAUAUAUGAUACUCGAAGCAUGAAGUCUGAAGGUUGGAGCCAAGGUUUUCAGGUAAACAAUGAUGCUUAGCUGAGAGUCCGGAG